rnacentral:rRNA from 1 species
GAGUUUGAUCCUGGCUCAGAACGAACGCUGGCGGCGCGCUUAACACAUGCAAGUCGCACGCCCCUUUCGGGGGGAGUGGCGCACGGGUGAGUAACGCGUGGGAACCUGCCCUGGGGUUCGGGACAACCGCGGGAAACUGCGGCUAAUACCGGAUACGACCAUUGGUGAAAGAAGCAAUUCGCCCUGGGGUGGGCCCGCGUCCGAUUAGCUUGUUGGUGGGGUAAUGGCCUACCAAGGCUGCGAUCGGUAGCCGGUCUGAGAGGAUGAUCGGCCACACUGGGACUGAGACACGGCCCAGAUUCCUACGGGAGGCAGCAGUGGGGAAUCUUGGACAAUGGGCGCAAGCCUGAUCCAGCGACGCCGCGUGGGUGACGAAGGCCUUCGGGUUGUAAAGCCCUUUUCCCGGGGACGAUGAUGACGGUACCCGGGGAAUAAGCACCGGCUAACUCCGUGCCAGCAGCCGCGGUAAGACGGAGGGUGCUAGCGUUGUUCGGAAUGACUGGGCGUAAAGGGCGCGUAGGCGGCCGGUUGCGUCGGAUGUGAAAGCCCGGGGCUCAACCCCGGAACGGCAUCCGAUACGGGCUGGCUUGAGACCGAGAGAGGUGAGUGGAAUACCCAGUGUAGAGGUGAAAUUCGUAGAUAUUGGGUGGAACACCGGUGGCGAAAGCGGCUCACUGGCUCGGUUCUGACGCUGAGGCGCGAAAGCGUGGGGAGCAAACAGGAUUAGAUACCCUGGUAGUCCACGCCCUAAACGAUGUGGGCUGGGCGUCGGGGGGCUUGCCCCUCGGUGCCGGAGCUAACGCGGUAAGCCCACCGCCUGGGGAGUACGGCCGCAAGGUUAAAACUCAAAGGAAUUGACGG